GACGUAGGGCGCGAGCGUUGUCCGGAUUUAUUGGGCGUAAAGAGCUCGUAGGCGGCUUGUCGCGUCGAAUGUGAAAACCCGAGGCUCAACCUCGGGCUUGCAUUCGAUACGGGCAGGCUAGAGUUCGGUAGGGGAGACUGGAAUUCCUGGUGUAGCGGUGAAAUGCGCAGAGUAUCAGGAGGAACACCGGUGGCGAAGGCGGGUCUCUGGGCCGAUACUGACGCUGAGGAGCGAAAGCGUGGGGAGCGAACAGG
rnacentral:rRNA from 1 species